rnacentral:rRNA from 1 species
UAUGCUUGUCUCAAAGAUUAAGCCAUGCAUGUCUAAGUACAGGCUCUUGUGGACGGCGAAACCGCGAAUGGCUCAUUAGAUCAGUUAAUAUUUAUUAGAUCGUACGUCGCUACUUGGAUANCUGUGGUAAUUCUAGAGCUAAUACAUGCAAACAAACCCUCGCCUCGCGGCGACGGUGNUUUUAUUAGGUCAAAACCAACGCGGCGCCCGCUCGCGCGAGCGCCCCCAAAAAGCUGGUGACUCUGGAUAACUUUCUGUCGAUCGCACGGCCUCGCGCCGGCGACGUAUCUUUCAAAUGUCUGCCCUAUCAAGUUUCGAAGGUAGGUGCUAUGCUUACCUUGCUUAUAACGGGUAACGGGGAAUCAGGGUUCGAUUCCGGAGAGGGAGCAUGAGAAACGGCUACCACAUCUAAGGAAGGCAGCAGGCGCGCAAAUUACCCACUCCUGGCNCGGGGAGGGGGUGACAAGAAAUAACAAUACGGGACUCUAUCGAGGCCCCG